GGGCAGUUAUUUUGCGCCUUGGUUUUUCCACACGCUUCUUGCGACCCUGUUGACUAUUUUGAAUGAAACGCUUGAUUGUUCGAUGAUCACGCUUCAGAAGCUUUGCAAUUUUAAGAGUGCUGCAUCCCUCUGCAAGAUAUCUCACUAUUUUUGACUUUUCUGAGCCUGUCAAGUCCUUCUUUUGACCCAUUUUGCCAAAGGAAAGGAAGUUGCCUAAUAAUUAUGCACAACUGAUAUAGGGUGUUGAUGUCAUUAGACCACACCCCUUCUCAUUACAGAGAUGCACAUCACCUAAUAUGCUUAAUUGGUAGUAGGCUUUCGAGCCUAUACAGCUUGGAGUAAGACAACAUGCAUAAAGAGGAUGAUGUGGUCAAAAUACUCAUUUGCCUAAUAAUUCUGCACUCC